AAAAGACUCUCCAGAGGGGAAGGAUGUCCAUUUGGAUUUGGAUGUUUGGAGGAAGUGUUACUCACAGCCAUCCUUCAGUGCAAUGCAGUACGUUCUGUCGAGGGCCAGAGGAGGUCGAACUACCUUCAGCCGCUCUCCUUUCUUCUGGACUUUGGUCAUUAGAAGCACAUCAGAGAAAAGUAGAGCCACCACCUCCAGCUGCAUCACACCACGUGAAAGGAAACACAUGAAAGUCAAAAAAUUCUCCUCCAGCAGCAGCUUACGUACGACUUCAGAACCUACUCCCCUGAUGGGGCAUGUAAGGUCAAACUGGCAGAACACUCGGACAUGCUGUCAAAGGAAAUCCAUCAUGAUCAUCAACAUAUUAGAGUGAACAGAAUUAGAGUUUAUUUUGGCAGAAAUCUAUAAUGUUCAAUAUUGUUAAUAUAGCCUGACAUGUAAAAGGAAAAAGAAAGAAACAAGAAACUGUUUUUGUAGACCA